rnacentral:rRNA from 1 species
UACGUAGGUGGCAAGCGUUGUCCGGAAUUAUUGGGCGUCAAGCGCGCGCAGGCGGUCCUUUAAGUCUGAUGUGAAAGCCCACGGCUCAACCGUGGAGGGUCAUUGGAAACUGGGGGACUUGAGUACAGAAGAGAAGAGUGGAAUUCCACGUGUAGCGGUGAAAUGCGUAGAGAUGUGGAGGAACACCAGUGGCGAAGGCGACUCUUUGGUCUGUAACUGACGCUGAGGCGCGAAAGCGUGGGGAGCAAACAGG